GAUGAAGAACGUAGCGAAAUGCGAUAAGUAAUGUGAAUUGCAGAAUUCAGUGAAUCAUCGAGUCUUUGAACGCACAUUGCGCCCCCUGGUAUUCCGGGGGGCAUGCCUGUCCGAGCGUCAUUGCUGCCCUCAAGCACGGCUUGUGUGUUGGGCCCCCGUCCCCGGUUUCCCCCGGGGACGGGCCCGAAAGGCAGCGGCGGCACCGCGUCCGGUCCUCGAGCGUAUGGGGCUUUGUCACCCGCUCUGUAGGCCCGGCCGGCGACAGCCGACACCCAACUUUAUUUCUAAGGUUGACCUCGGAUCAGGUAGGGAUACCCGCUGAACUUAAGCAUAUCAAUAAGCGGAGGA
rnacentral:misc_RNA from 1 species